CGAGUAUAUUUAGCACUUCCCCGAGCCCUUCGCAUGCUCCAGCCCCGGUGCGGAGCGCUCGCUUAAUUAAUUGACGCAGCUCUCGCCCCGCGGUGCCACAUGACGGGGGCGGUGGGCGGCCGAGGGCACGGCCCUACAGGGCUGGGAAAGAGAGCAGUACCAUCAACUCAGGAAAGCAUCCCAUCCCUUGCUCAGCUGUGUGAGAAAUAGCAGUGCCUGAACCACUCCUCUUGCCUUUCCUAGCCCGUAUUCCUCUGCAUUCACUUUUUGCUUGGAGCUUCCACAAUUCUCACAUUUGGUCACGUUACCUGUUCAUUUACUUAGUGCUCUUUCUUACAAGUGCUGGUAUUUGAACCGACUGUUGAAAUUAAACAGAAGGCAUACUGCUUCUUCCUGAAGGGACCAUUAAAUUGAUGUAGGAAUUAACUUGAGAGAUGUCAAGUGCUUGAGGUUUCAGUAAAGAAGUUAGUACAGGAAUAAAUCUGGAAUCAUAAAUAUAGAUUUCAUGGGAAGAUAUGUCACUAUACUAUCACAAGAUUAAUCUGUUGGCUCAGGAUAACACUGGCUUUUGACGAGCAUAUCUUCAAAUAUUUAAAAAUCUGUUCCUGUGUUUUACCCUGAAGUGAUGUGGUCCAGCAUUCAUCUGGCUCACAUGCUGGAAAUGAUUUGUUUCUUUUUACAUGAGUCAUUUCUGUGCGUUAAUUGGUUAAUGGUUCUUAUGGUUAAUAGGCUUCUUGUAGAAUUUUUUGCCCUUGAAUUAUCAUGAUUUGGAGUAGUCAAGUUUGACUCAAAUACCAAUGUAGAAAUUCCCCCAGGACUGCUUCUUUCCAAAUAAAUCUUUCUAGGCUAUGUGCCUGUAAAAUUAUCAGUCUUAUUAUUACUUGUAUGUUAGCCUAAGUCAGGGCUGUGGUGGGGUUGUGUUUCCCUACAGCAUGUGUGAACAUUAACUGUUUAGAGUUCAGAGUUGCAGAUAACGUGGUAAGGGGUUGGCUUCUAGAGGUGCCUUCAUUUACCCAGUAGCAGUGCCGUGCUGUGUACUUUAAUGAGGCAAUGAGUGCAGUGCCAUAGCAGUGAUAUUACUGAUACUUGGGAUUCUGCAUAUUUAAAUAAUAAAAAAGCAGUGUUGCCAGUGCAUGCUCACUCUUAUUUAGGUAUUACAUUAACAGGUAGUGAUCAUUUCCCUUCUUUUGUACAUUAUUGAAUAUAUUUUUCUGUUUUCUCAAAGAUAUUUCUUGCCACAAUUAGGGAAUACACCUGCUGAGAAGGUGGGACGUAAGGCCUUUUAAUGAAUUAUCAUGGUUCAGUUUUAUCCAUUCUGCUUUUAUUGCUGAUGGAGGUCAUUUUAGAUUGCCGAACUUCUAGUUGGGUCAACUUUAUUUAUUGUUUCUUCAGUACUUGAUAAUUAUUAUUGCUUUAAAAUACUGAAUUUCUGGUCUAAGAUACGUAAUGCUGACAGCAUUUGUGAUGUAAUUGUGAAAUCGCUGGGAGUUUGUAGCAAGCGUGUUGGUGCCUGGGGGGGAAAAAAGGCUUUGUAGAUUUUCAGCCUUGUCAGUUGGUACAUGAGGCCUGGUGCACUUCAAGAGCUAUAAUUUUAAACUAAUGCAACUUCUCCUAAAGUGCAGUUUUUUUUAAUUCCUUGGUUAAACUGGAAGACUUAAAACCUGAGUCGCUCUGAUGGGUAGAGCCGUUUUUUCCAGUUGCUGACUUAAGUUUUUAAGGCUGUUAUCAUUAUCCCUUUUUUCCUUUUUUAACUAAUAGCACUUUUUGUCUUACACAG
ensembl:lncRNA